rnacentral:rRNA from 1 species
UACGAAGGGGGCUAGCGUUGCUCGGAAUUACUGGGCGUAAAGGGCGCGUAGGCGGUUACUUAAGUCGGGGGUGAAAGCCCGGGGCUCAACCUCGGAAUUGCCUUCGAUACUGGGUAUCUUGAGUUCGGGAGAGGUGAGUGGAAUGCCGAGUGUAGAGGUGAAAUUCGUAGAUAUUCGGCGGAACACCAGUGGCGAAGGCGACUCACUGGCCCGAUACUGACGCUGAUGCGCGAAAGCGUGGGGAGCAAACAGG